rnacentral:rRNA from 1 species
UCGGCAAUGGAUAUCUUGGCUCUCGCAUCGAUGAAGAGCGCAGCGAAAUGCGAUACGUGGUGCGAAUUGCAGAAUCCCGUGAACCAUCGAGUUUUUGAACGCAAGUUGCGCCCGAGGCCUGCUGGCUAAGGGCACGUCCGCCUGGGCGUCAAG